GUGUCCUGGAGCAGGCCUCCCCUGGGUUCCCGUUCCCUCGGGCGGAAAGUGGGAGUGUGGACGUUUUCCGUCGGCUGAGCACUAGAGGGGUGCACCCGAGCGUCCAGCACGGCCAGGGGCCCGCACGCCGCCCCGACGGGGGUGCGCUCGGUACCAGUUAUCAACGACCCAACUGCUUCCUCAAGUGUUGAUGUGUGAACAUCGGAGAGAGCGUUGAGGCGAGCAUAGAAAGCAGGUUUUAUUUUAAAAACAGUAACACAGACUUCUCCAGGGAGGGAGAAGAGGGCCAUGGCUGGUGUCCUGGUGUCCCCCAAAGUGAGAGCAUCCUGCCCCUUUUAUACAUUUUAGACUUUCUUUGUUCUCCUGCUCUCUUUUCCCUUAUCUCUCUCCUUCCUGCAUACAUGACUAGGCCCAGAAGAUUCAGUGGGGUGGCCAAAACAUGAGAAGCAGAUGGGCUGGAGGGGCCAAGCCCAGUGAUCCAGCAGGUGGCAGCUCAGGAGGCAUUAAUUAACAACUUUUACAGCUCCCUGUAUGGAGGGACAGUUCCUGGGACAGGUUACCUUGGUAAGGAUGGGGGAGGCGUCUUCUGCUUCCCAGACCCAAACUGGCCUCCAUCUUCACCAUCUGACCCAACUGCCUAUCUACACUGACUGCCUAUCUUUAAUUCUUCCUUCACUUUCCUGGUCUGCUUUGCAGUCCUGGGGUCGCCCCAGAAGGAGUGUGACACUUGAGCCACCCUGGCAUCUUGACUCUACAAAGCUAAGGCCCUGAGGUCUGGGAGGACCUGUUAGCAUUUUUGGAAUCACUGCUGUGGGAGGGCAGAAAAGUUAGCAAGGUAGGCUGUCAAACAUCCCUUUCAGUUUAGGACAGAUGGCACUGAGUGGCAAUAGUGCAUUGAGACAAUAGUGAAUCUACCUUCCUGCUUGAGGCAUUUAUCAGAGGUAGAAAGUAAGUCCAUUAAAAAGUUCACUGAUGAUGGUGUUCCAGAGCAUCAUGUCCUUGACUGAGCACUGGGUCACUCCCGAUCACCUCUGUGACUGUGUAGACCUGAUCAUUGUUGGGACUUGUCUUUUCUUUUUUUUAACUUUCUCAUCCCUCUCUUCAUGUUAGACUCCCUCCAGUGUCCCUCCCUUGAAGAGGCCCUCACUAUUGGUCCCAUUUAUUAUUAACCAUAAUCUCUUUAUUUUCUUUCAUUUGAUUCUUGUCUUCUGAAUCUUUAGAUUAUCUGAAAUUAUCUUGCUCAUUUAUUUAGUCGCUUAUUUAUUCUACCCUUGCAUCUGAGUGCCAGUUACUACUCUAUCCUGACUGGACAGGUACAUUGAUGAUUCUCUGGAAAUUAUUGAUGAAUGAACAGGUCUCCUUGUCCAGGGCUCCCCACCCCAGCAGAGCCUGUAGGGAUCUUCUUAAUCUAUCGAUCUUUCAACCACUUCUGUUUCCUUCUCUUCUGUUCUCCCCUGGCUCACUGCAUCCAACCAAGGAGUCAUGAACUUGCUAUACUCUUUCCCAUCAUGUGACCUUUGAUCUUGCACUUCUCAAGGUCUGGGACACUGUCCAGGAUUGCUGAGAGUCUGCUGCUCCACACCCUUUCUGAGCAUCAGACCUAGGAUCUUUCCCUGGACAUUUCACUAUUGUCAGUCAGACCUGGGAACUUGCUUGGAUCCCAGAUACCUGAGUUCAGUUGCUUGCCUACAUAAGAAAUAAGCAAACAAUGAAAAAAGGAAAAAAGUUUACACAGUUUGGUCAGACCAGGGAGAAGAAGCUAGUUUGCUUUCCUCCUGGUGCCAUAGAAGUGGUAAUUGUAAGAUAUGGAAAAUGACAAACCCCAAAAUAGUGGACCUUGGGAAGAGGGUAUGAAGAGAGGAUGGCAUAUUGAUGGCAUUGAUCCUUUCCCAGUGACAGAACAAGCCCUAGAAAGGAAGCCAAAGCAUUGAUCCUUCCCCCAAACAAAUUCUUUCCCAGUGAUAGUACAAUAGGACCAUGAAGAGAAAGAGACUUUCCAUUUUUCUGUAAGUAAAAGUAUUGCCCAGUAAAAACAAAUUUCAAAUUCUCACAAACCUGUUUCCUGAGUGCCCAAACUGACAUGCUCUGCUAAUAAUUAAGUCAUGUCUCAGUGUAAACUAUAUGAAACAUACUCUCCCUUUGGCCAGGGACUCAUUUUCCACCCGGAAAGUGGGUCCAUCAGAGGUGUGACUCCAUUGCUGAAUAAAGGUUUGAUAAUCCAUGAAGUCUGCACCUGGCUUGGUCCUUUUGUGCUAACAGUUACAGCUUAGAGAAACCAGGUGAUACAAACUUAUGGACUUAGCUUGGCUGGGCUAAGCAGAGAACAUGUCAGCUAUGCCAGGAUGGGGCAGAGGGUGGUUUUUAGUCUCAGCACCAGGAGGUUCAGGAGUUCUGUUUCAGUUCUAGUCCUAGCUGAAGUACCCUACCACACUACUACUUGCCCAUCUUCUGGCAACUUUGUGAAGUCUUUUGCAAGGUGUUGAAAUCCUGCCUCUGCUUCAAUGUGGAUCUGCAGGUGAGCCCAAAGCUGUAUUAGCCCCACCAAGCUGGCAGUGACAUGGAAGUGAUAAGAUUAAUAAAAGUUGCACAACACAUCAAGUACUUAUAUAUGGUGAGGCACCAAUCACCUUGUGAACAUUCUUCAUAUCAGAACUGCGUGGUAGUAUAGAAGUGAUUAUUGUAUUGAUUUGGAAAUUGAGGCUUGGAGAAAUAAUGAGACAUCCUCAUUGGUUACACAGCUAGAAAAUGUCAAAGUUGAGAGCACUUCAGUCCACAGCAGUGCCCUUGAUUUUCAGGUCUCAAAGCAACUUUCUGCUUUUCUUGUUUCACUCUGGUCUCCUCCCUGUCGUGAAGUCCCAGGCAGUUGGAAAGUUUAUUUUUCUCAUCAAAUCACAAUGUCUGGUCUGGGGUUGUGGCUCAGCAGUAGAGCGCUUGCCUAGCAUGUGCGAGGUCCUGGGUUCUAUCCUCAGCACCAUAUAAAAAUAAAUAAAAUGAAGAUGUUAUGUCCAACUACAACUAAAACAUAAAUAUUUUAAAAAAUCACCAUGUCCCACUUCUUUUUUGCCACAAACAGGGCAUCAGGUUCUGGAGCUGGUUUACCUGCUGGAGCAUGGGCAGGAGCUAUGGGCAGUGAAGAGAGGCCUCUCCCAUAGCCCCUGUGCAGGUAGGCAGCCAAGAGCUGGCCAGUGGGGUUGCAGGGACUGCUGCCUAUGAGCUGCUGGGUAGAAUGCCUUGUUAUGGCCUCCUGGGUUCUUGUGCAUUAUAAGGUGAGCUCUGUACCACACAGUCAUUCAGAGAUGCAGGUGUCUUCCGGUGUGACUGGGCAGCUGUAGAUUGCUCUGACAUUACCCAGCUGGGAGGGGAAGUGUGAGAGGGAAGGGAGAAAUAAUGGCUAGAGUACACAUGCUUCAUUCUUGAAGCACAUGUACAUUCUUGACUAUACAUUUGGCCUCACCAGGGUUCUCUGGCCACAAAAUAUGGCUUUACUUCGUGCCCUAGGAGAGCAGUGAAUGAAUUGGUUUGCAUAACUUUCAGGCUGUACUCAAACAACCAGAGAGGGUGACUGCUGGUGUUGUAGCUCAGUGGUAGUGUGCUCACCAUUAUGAGCCUCUGAGCUCUAUACCCUGCACCAUGCACAAAAUUUUUUUAAAAAUCAGAGUAAAAGUGAUUUCUGUGUCGCUGAGUGGCUCAAGGAUAUAAUUGGAUAAUGUGUGAUACUGUUGAGUUUAGAGCGCCUGUCCGACAGUAGCAACAAAACUGAGCAGUGCCUAUUCUCUGUGCAAUGGUGUAGUCAUGAUGAAUAACCAGCAUCAUGCAUUUCCUUCUGGACUUGGAGAGAAAAGGACCUUCACCUCCCUUGUUAGCACUGUCCACACCAUACAGCAUCCCACUCUUUCCCCCUUCCCCCCAUCCAUCCAUCUUCCUCUUUGUCCAAAGACACAAAAGCAGCCCACAGUCCUUGGUCCCAUAUCUUCCUGCCUCUCUUGCCCUAAAAAGUACCAGGAUGGCAUUUGACCUUUUUUGCCCACAUCUGUGCUGAAGAAAGUAGCUGAAGCCAUCUGUCUGAUGGAUUGGCAUCACUACCAAGUCAUGAUCUCCCUGGUUGUGGUUCACAGGGCUUCUUCACACCUAUCUCCUCAAUCUCAUGUUUCCACUUAAGUGUCUCGAAGGUGCCUUAAGCUCAUCAUGACCUUCAACAUCAUGCCAACCCCUUUCUCCCCAGACAUACCCCUCCUCCUCACUUCAGAUCCAACACCAUCCUGUUCAUAUUGUGUCAUCUGCAUCAGAUCCAACACCAUCCUGUCCAUAUUGUGUCAUCUGCACUCCUGACUUGUCACCUCUGGCUCCUUUGUCUGCUACAUGGUCUACACCCAGCCCAUGUCUCAUGGUCUUUUGCCUCGUGGUGGAGAAGCUCCUAAUGGUCACCCGUCUGCUCUGUGCCUUGGUCAGCUCUUUCCUGCUCUGGUUCCUACGGCCACUCAGGUCCACAUCUUCAGCCCUUCCCCAGCAGGUGGUGUCUUAGCACAUUCCCCUUCAUGUUAGAAAUAAAGUGUGUGCUUAUGUUACCCGCUCUUGACCUUAUGAGGGUGUAUCUGUGCCUCUCUCGGACCUCAUUCCCUCCUGUCCUCCAUGCUACAUCAGAAUUCUGUGUUCUCAGGAACUUGAUUCUCACCUCACCUUCUACUAGGUUUGUGUCUGCCUCCUCCUCCAUGUCCUCUAUAGGGACUUGCCUACUUCCUGCCUUCUACUGUGUCCAAGGCUUCCUCCUCUGUACUUAUGGAGGAAAUGAGCACAAGACACUUCUUCAUCCUUUAAAUGUGUUGUCCAGCACCAGGCAGGGGGGUGGUGUGAUUCUAUAUACAAACCAAGAUCCUUGAAAGAGUUGGCUCAUUUUUGGAAGAUACGGGUACACUUGGCUUCCAUAUUUUUUAUUUGAAAUCUCUUUUAGUUUUUAAAAAUCUGCUGUAGUCAGUGAUGAGCACAAGUCUUAAGGUUCAGUUUUAGUUUUUCUG
rnacentral:lncRNA from 1 species